ensembl:snRNA U6 U6 spliceosomal RNA
GGGCUCUCUUGGGCAGCACACAUACUAAAAUUGGAAUGAUAUAGACAAGUUGACACAAGAUUGCACAAGGAUGGUAUACAAAUUUGUGAAAUAUUCCAUAUUUUU